rnacentral:rRNA from 1 species
GACGAACGCUGGCGGCGUGCUUAACACAUGCAAGUCGAGCGAGACCCCGCUUUCGGGUGGGUGUUCUAGCGGCGAACGGGUGAGUAACACGUGGGCAACCUGCCCUCAGCUCUGGGAUAACUCCAAGAAAUUGGGGCUAAUACCGGAUAUGACCGCUGACCGCAUGGUCUGGUGGUGGAAAGAUUUAUCGGCUGGGGAUGGGCCCGCGGCCUAUCAGCUUGUUGGUGGGGUAGUGGGCUACCAAGGCGACGACGGGUAGCCGGCCUGCGAGGGUGACCGGCCACACUGGGACUGCGACACGGCCCAGACUCCUACGGGAGGCAGCAGUGGGGAAUAUUGCGCAAUGGGCGAGAGCCUGACGCAGCGACGCCGCGUGGGGGAUGACGGCCUUCGGGUUGUAAACCUCUUUCAGCAGGGACGAAGCGAAAGUAACGGUACCUGCAGAAGAAGCACCGGCCAACUACGUGCCAGCCGCCGCGGUAA